rnacentral:lncRNA from 1 species
UCUGAUGUACUACUCCCUUCAAAUGACUUGUUAUUUCAGUAGUACGGUCUGUACCUCACAGAACUGCUGAAAAUUCAUCUACUUGGACACUUGUUCACCCUGCCAAACAAACAAGCAAAAGAACAAGUCCAAGUUGAGAUAGAAAAGAUAAAUGAACACGAAAGAUACAAGAUUGGUUCGAAUCAAGUAGCACAUUCUUCAGAUUAUAUGUACCACUAUCUUAUAGCUCAGAUUAUAGACAAGUAAACACCAUCCCAAUCAGGCAACCAACAACCAAUCGAACAACUCAACUAUAUAUUAAUUGCUAGUGUGCACUGUAGUCGGCAGUAGAAUGCCCCAGAAUUCGAAGUAGAUGAGACUCACCUCUCUGACGAACCAACACAGCAGCUCGCACUCGGUGAUCCAUUACCCUGCCUACACCAAGGACACCUCCACCGGCUCAGUGAAGGGCUCCCUUGCCACCGGAAAGCAACAGUGCUGGAGACAAAAUCCAAGCGAUGAUAGAGAUGUGAAAAUGGGUGGCAUGUUGAGAUCGAACCAGUAUGGUAAGUGACUAUUUCAUCAGAGACAGAUGGAAAUCGUACCACCCACAACAACUUGUCACCUAACAAUGCAUAUCCAUGGACAAUUUCUGUGGGAAAAUCAAAAUAACACACACCAAAGUACCAAAGUACAAAGUGAUUAAGUGAGAAUCCUAAAUAUUCCAAUGAGAAAGAACAUAAAGGGGACCAGUACCUGAAAUAUUGUGCAAUCAUAUCCAGAGCAGGUGAAGAAACACACAACAUACUAAUGAAUCCAAACCCUUAAAACCAUAUAGAUUUUUCUUUGUGCUAAUAUUCUGCAUCUGCAAGUC